ensembl:lncRNA
AGGCAGGAUGGAAGAAGCAGAACUCUUAAAGGAGCGCCUUCAAGCUAUUACGAAUAAGAAAAAAAUCCAAGAAGAAAUUGCCCACAAACGGCUUGAGAUUGACAGAGAGAAACUAAAGCUUCAACAUGUCAAGAAAAGAUCCACGAGAGAUCUGUGGCUCAUGGAUGGGAUGAACAGCAGUAAUGCUCAGGAAACACAAAAAGCUCUUGAAGAUGCACAACAAACUAAGCAACUCAAGAGCACCAUACAUCGGAUAGAGAAAGAGAUUGAAGCGUUGGAGAGAGAGGAAAUGAACAUCUCAACAAAUGAGGGGCUGAUUCUAAAGAGGCUCAAAGCCAUUGAAAAGUCUCUAGAGGACAUCAUUAAGGCAGUAAAUGCAGAUUUCACAUCAGAGCCGAUCUAUAUUCAUUCAACAAUUCCAAACAUGCGAAAGCCCAGCACACCCCUGAUAAACCAGAGGAAGAAACAAGACCUUGAAACUGAAGCAAAAACCGACCAAGCCAAACCUGGUAAACUGAAAGAAGACUACAGACUGUUUUCAAUAUUUUAUAUAAUGUAGAACAGCAAAAUAAAUAUUUUAUACAGGCUUUUCCA